UCAUGCACGCCCACUUCAACAUUCGAAGAAUAUUCUGUCAGUUUUUCGAGAAAUCGGCAUUUUUUUCUUUUUACAAGUUUAUAAUGGGAUUUUAUUGUGGCACAACUAUCAGCUGUAGGCGCCUUCCCUCUUCAUUCAGAUUUAUUCGCAUCCACAACACCAGCGCUGGACUCUUUCCACUCAUCAGACAAAUUCGUACCGAGAAAUGAACACUCUGGAUUUCUCUCGUGGCACAUUAGAGUGCAAAGGCACGAUUAAAAUAAAAUGUUCGAAGAAAUAAAAGGAAACAUGACAUAUUUAAAGGACACGGUAAUAAAUGUCACGCUAAAACUUUAAUAGUGAGAUUAUGAUAAAUGUCCAUUAAAAAUCAUAAUCAUAUGGAUCCCAUGGUAGUCACUUAAAUUCAAUCGAUAACCAUUGAUUUUGACUUUAGCAAUAUAUUCAUGUAUCAAUAAUGGAGAUGACGGUGGGGAUAAAAUAUAUGGAAGAAAAAUGCAAGAGACAAGAGGAGGGUAUCAGCAAUAACUGACGCACGAGCCGUAAACUCACCGGUCAAUCAAUUUAAAGACCCCAUUCCUCGUGCCCAUC